rnacentral:rRNA from 1 species
UACGUAGGGGGCUAGCGUUGUCCGGAUUUAUUGGGCGUAAAGAGCGUGUAGGCGGCUUCACAGGUCUGCUGUGAAAACUCGAGGCUCAACCUCGAGCUGUCGGUGGAAACCGUGAGGCUAGAGUCCGGAAGAGGAGAGUGGAAUUCCCGGUGUAGCGGUGAAAUGCGCAGAUAUCGGGAAGAACACCCGUGGCGAAGGCGGCUCUCUGGGACGGUACUGACGCUGAGACGCGAAAGCGUGGGGAGCAAACAGG